rnacentral:rRNA from 1 species
UACGUAGGGUGCGAGCGUUAAUCGGAAUUACUGGGCGUAAAGCGUGCGCAGGCGGUUUAUUAAGACAGAUGUGAAAUCCCCGGGCUUAACCUGGGAACUGCAUUUGUGACUGGUAGGCUAGAGUGUAGCAGAGGGGGGUAGAAUUCCACGUGUAGCAGUGAAAUGCGUAGAGAUGUGGAGGAAUACCGAUGGCGAAGGCAGCCCCCUGGGUUAACACUGACGCUCAUGCACGAAAGCGUGGGGAGCAAAC